GAUGAACGCUGGCGGCGUGCCUAAUACAUGCAAGUCGAGCGAACGGACGAGAGGCUUGCUACUCUGAUGUUAGCGGCGGACGGGUGAGUAACACGUGGAUAACCUACCUAUAAGACUGGGAUAACUUCGGGAAACCGGAGCUAAUACCGGAUAAUAUUUUGAACCGCAUGGUUCAAAAGUAAAAGACGGCCUUGCUGUCACUUAUAGAUGGAUCCGCGCUGCAUUAGCUAGUUGGUAAGGUAACGGCUUACCAAGGCAACGAUGCAUAGCCGACCUGAGAGGGUGAUCGGCCACACUGGAACUGAGACACGGUCCAGACUCCUACGGGAGGCAGCAGUAGGGAAUCUUCCGCAAUGGGCGAAAGCCUGACGGAGCAACGCCGCGUGAGUGAUGAAGGUCUUCGGAUCGUAAAACUCUGUUAUUAGGGAAGAACAUAUGUGUAAGUAACUGUGCACAUCUUGACGGUACCUAAUCAGAAAGCCACGGCUAACUACGUG
rnacentral:rRNA from 1 species